AUGUCUAAGUAUAAGCGAACUUAUACAGUGAAACUGCGGAUGGCUCAUUAAAACAGUUCGAAUUUAUUUGAUGAAUGUAUGAGAAUACUACUUGGAUAACCGUAGUAAUUCUAGAGCUAAUACAUGCAACGACGCCCGACCGUUUCACUACGGAAGGGCUGUAUUUAUUGGAUACCAAAACCAUCCUUCCCUCGGGAAGUUUUGUUUGAUGAUUCACAAUAACUGAUCGGAUCGCCACUGUGGUGGCGACAGGUCAUUCAACAUUCUGCCCUAUCAGCUUUCGAUGGUUGUGUAGUGGACAACCAUGGCCAUAACGGGUAACGGAGAAUCAGGGUUCGAUUCCGGAGAAGGAGCUUGAGAAUUGGCUACUACAUCUAAGGAAGGCAGCAGGCGCGCAAAUUACCCAAUCCCGAUUCGGGGAGGUAGUGACAAAAAAUAACAAUACCGGGCCUUUUUGGGCUUGGUAAUUCGAAUGAGGGAGAGUUAAACGGACCAUCGAGUAUCCAUUGGAGGGCAAGUCUGGUGCCAGCAGCUGCGGUAAUACCAGCUCCAAUAGCGUAUAUUAAAGUUGUUGCAGUUAAAAAGCUCGUAGUUGGGCUUGUGUGCGCUGUCCGCGGGUGGCCUGCGCCCAAAAGGGCGUUUCGGUUCGGCCCCGGUGGCGCCUUGAAAUCUGCAGCUGGGGGGACGUUGGCCUUAACUGGUCGGCGACCGCACGCCGGCUGCUCGGUUACUGUGAGAAAAUUAGAGUGUUCAAGGCAGGCAUUGGUGCAAUUGAAUACAUUAGCAUGGAAUAAUAAAAUAUGGCUCCUGCCGUAUUUUGUUGGUUUUGACUGGUGGGAGUAAUGAUUGAUAGGGACGGUUGGGGGUGCUAGUAUUGAGCGGCCAGAGGUGAAAUUCAUGGAUUCGCUCAAGACUAACUUAUGCGAAAGCAUUCACCAAGGACGUCCUCUUUAAUCAAGAACGAAAGUUGGGGGAUCGAAGACGAUCAGAUACCGUCGUAGUCUCAACCAUAAACUAUGUCGACUUGGGAUCGGCGGUAGUUUUUUCAUUAAGACACUGUCGGGACCACGGGAGAAAUCAAAGUGUCUGGACUCUGGGGGAAGUAUGGUCGCAAGGCUGAAACUUGAAGGAAUUGACGGAAGGGCACCACCAGGAGUGGAGCCUGCGGCUUAAUUUGACCCAACACGGGGAAACUUACCAGGUCCAGAGAUGUAGAGGAUUGACAGAUUGAAGCUCUUUCUUGAUCACUUCGGUGGUGGUGCAUGGCCGUUCUUAGUUGGUGGAGUGAUUUGUCUGGUUAGUUCCGUUAACGAACGAGACCUCAGCCUGCUAGUGUAGUCGGCUGGAUUGCC
rnacentral:rRNA from 1 species